GUCAGAUUCACUUUUCCAGACUCCUGUUUUCCCUGUUGAUUCUGAGCUUCACAGUAGUACCAGCCCGCAUCAUCGCUGCUUACAUUGAAGGUCAGAGUCACAUGGCUGCCAUUGACCAGUGGACCAGAUGGACUUAUGGAGGCCAUUGUAUUCUUUGGAGGGACUGAGGGAGAGAAUACUUGUUGAAAAGAUGACAAACAAUAAAGCAUUUGGUUCACUGUGUA